rnacentral:rRNA from 1 species
AUUGAACGCUGGCGGCAGGCCUAAUACAUGCAAGUCGUGCGAGCUGCGGACGGGUGAGUAGUGUAUUUGGAUCUGCCCGAUGGAGCGGGCUAAAGACUGGAAACGGUAGCUACUACCGCAUACCAUCCGAUGAACCCAUAUGGGUGUAGCUGCUAGGUAAGGUAACGGCUUACCUAGGCGACGAUCCCUAGCUGGUCUGAGAGGAUGAUCAGCCACACUGGGACUGAGACACGGCCCAGACUCCUACGGGAGGCAGCAGUGGGGAAUAUUGCACAAUGGGCGAAAGCCUGAUGCAGCCAUGCCGCGUGUAUGAAGAAGGCCUUCGGGUUGUAAAGUACUUUCAGUCGGGAGGCGUUACCGACAGAAGAAGCACCGGCUAACUCCGUGCCAGCAGCCGCGGUAAUUC